rnacentral:rRNA from 1 species
UUUAAAUGGCCGCAGUAUAUUAACUGUGCAAAGGUAGCAUAAUCAUUAGUCUUUUAAUUGAAGGCUGGUAUGAAUGGUUGGACGAGAUAUUAACUGUUUCAUAAAAAUUUAUAUUAGAAUUUUAUUUUUUAGUCAAAAAGCUAAAAUAUAUUUAAAAGACGAGAAGACCCUAUAAAUCUUUAUACUUAAAUUAUUAUAGUUUUGUAGAUUAUUUUUGUUAUAAUAAUUAAUGGUAUUUUAUUGGGGUGAUAUUAAAAUUUAAUAAACUUUUAAUUUUAAUAAUCAUUAAUUUAUGAAUAGUUGAUCCGUUAAUAACGAUUAAAAAAAUAAGUUACUUUAGGGAUAACAGCGUAAUUUUUUUGGAGAGUUCAUAUCGAUAAAAAAGAUUGCGACCUCGAUGUUGGAUUAAGAUAUAAUUUUAAAUGCAGCUGUUUAAAUUUUAAGUCUGUUCGACUUUUAA